ACCAGGAUGGCCAAGUGGUUAAGGUGUUGGACUUAAAAUCCAAUAGGUAUAUAUCUGUGUGGGUUCAAACCACACUCCUGGUA
rfam:Alligator mississippiensis ScZkoYb_55, whole genome shotgun sequence.